CGGUUAAGUUAGAAAGGGCGCACGGUGGAUGCCUUGGCACUAGGAGCCGAUGAAGGACGGGACGAACACCGAUAUGCUUCGGGGAGCUGUAAGCAAGCUUUGAUCCGGAGAUUUCCGAAUGGGGAAACCCACCACUCGUAAUGGAGUGGUAUCCAUAUCUGAAUACAUAGGAUAUGAGAAGGCAGACCCGGAGAACUGAAACAUCUAAGUACCCGGAGGAAGAGAAAGCAAAUGCGAUUCCCUGAGUAGCGGCGAGCGAAACGGGACCAGCCCAAACCAAGAGGCUUGCCUCUUGGGGUUGUAGGACACUCUGUACGGAGUUACAAAGGAACGAGGUAGAUGAAGAGGUCUGGAAAGGCCCGCCAUAGGAGGUAACAGCCCUGUAGUCAAAACUUCGUUCUCUCCUGAGUGGAUCCUGAGUACGGCGGAACACGUGAAAUUCCGUCGGAAUCCGGGAGGACCAUCUCCCAAGGCUAAAUACUCCCUAGUGACCGAUAGUGAACCAGUACCGUGAGGGAAAGGUGAAAAGCACCCCGGAAGGGGAGUGAAAGAGAUCCUGAAACCGUGUGCCUACAAGUAGUCAGAGCCCGUUAACGGGUGAUGGCGUGCCUUUUGUAGAAUGAACCGGCGAGUUACGAUCCCGUGCAAGGUUAAGCAGAAGAUGCGGAGCCGCAGCGAAAGCGAGUCUGAAUAGGGCGAAUUGAGUACGUGGUCGUAGACCCGAAACCAGGUGAUCUACCCAUGUCCAGGGUGAAGUUCAGGUAACACUGAAUGGAGGCCCGAACCCACGCACGUUGAAAAGUGCGGGGAUGAGGUGUGGGUAGGGGUGAAAUGCCAAUCGAACCUGGAGAUAGCUGGUUCUCUCCGAAAUAGCUUUAGGGCUAGCCUCAAGGUAAGAGUCUCGGAGGUAGAGCACUGAUUGGACUAGGGGCCCCUACCGGGUUACCGAAUUCAGUCAAACUCCGAAUGCCGAUGACUUAUCCUUGGGAGUCAGACUGCGAGUGAUAAGAUCCGUAGUCGAAAGGGAAACAGCCCAGACCGCCAGCUAAGGUCCCAAAGUAUACGUUAAGUGGAAAAGGAUGUGGAGUUGCUUAGACAACCAGGAUGUUGGCUUAGAAGCAGCCACCAUUUAAAGAGUGCGUAAUAGCUCACUGGUCGAGUGACUCUGCGCCGAAAAUGUACCGGGGCUAAACGUAUCACCGAAGCUGCGGACUGUUCUUCGAACAGUGGUAGGAGAGCGUUCUAAGGGCUGUGAAGCAAGACCGGAAGGACUUGUGGAGCGCUUAGAAGUGAGAAUGCCGGUAUGAGUAGCGAAAGAGGGGUGAGAAUCCCCUCCACCGAAUGCCUAAGGUUUCCUGAGGAAGGCUCGUCCGCUCAGGGUUAGUCGGGACCUAAGCCGAGGCCGAAAGGCGUAGGCGAUGGAUAACAGGUUGAUAUUCCUGUACCACCUCCUCACCAUUUGAGCAAUGGGGGGACGCAGGAGGAUAGGGUAAGCGCGGUAUUGGAUAUCCGCGUCCAAGCAGUUAGGCUGGGAAAUAGGCAAAUCCGUUUCCCGUGAAGGCUGAGCUGUGAUGGCGAGCGAAUUAUAGUAGCGAAGUUCCUGAUUCCACACUGCCAAGAAAAGCCUCUAGCGAGGUGAGAGGUGCCCGUACCGCAAACCGACACAGGUAGGCGAGGAGAGAAUCCUAAGGUGAUCGAGAGAACUCUCGUUAAGGAACUCGGCAAAAUGACCCCGUAACUUCGGGAGAAGGGGUGCUCUGUUAGGGUGCAAGCCCGAGAGAGCCGCAGUGAAUAGGCCCAGGCGACUGUUUAGCAAAAACACAGGUCUCUGCGAAGCCGUAAGGCGAAGUAUAGGGGCUGACGCCUGCCCGGUGCUGGAAGGUUAAGAGGAGCGCUUAGCGUAAGCGAAGGUGCGAAUUGAAGCCCCAGUAAACGGCGGCCGUAACUAUAACGGUCCUAAGGUAGCGAAAUUCCUUGUCGGGUAAGUUCCGACCCGCACGAAAGGCGCAACGAUCUGGGCACUGUCUCAACGAGAGACUCGGUGAAAUUAUAGUACCUGUGAAGAUGCAGGUUACCCGCGACAGGACGGAAAGACCCCGUGGAGCUUUACUGCAGCCUGAUAUUGAAUGUUGGUACAGCUUGUACAGGAUAGGUAGGAGCCUUGGAAACCGGAGCGCCAGCUUCGGUGGAGGCAUCGGUGGGAUACUACCCUGGCUGUAUUGACCUUCUAACCCGCCGCCCUUAUCGGGCGGGGAGACAGUGUCAGGUGGGCAGUUUGACUGGGGCGGUCGCCUCCUAAAAGGUAACGGAGGCGCCCAAAGGUUCCCUCAGAAUGGUUGGAAAUCAUUCGCAGAGUGUAAAGGCACAAGGGAGCUUGACUGCGAGACCUACAAGUCGAGCAGGGACGAAAGUCGGGCUUAGUGAUCCGGUGGUUCCGCAUGGAAGGGCCAUCGCUCAACGGAUAAAAGCUACCCCGGGGAUAACAGGCUUAUCUCCCCCAAGAGUCCACAUCGACGGGGAGGUUUGGCACCUCGAUGUCGGCUCAUCGCAUCCUGGGGCUGUAGUCGGUCCCAAGGGUUGGGCUGUUCGCCCAUUAAAGCGGUACGCGAGCUGGGUUCAGAACGUCGUGAGACAGUUCGGUCCCUAUCCGUCGCGGGCGCAGGAAAUUUGAGAGGAGCUGUCCUUAGUACGAGAGGACCGGGAUGGACGCACCGCUGGUGUACCAGUUGUUCUGCCAAGGGCAUCGCUGGGUAGCUAUGUGCGGACGGGAUAAGUGCUGAAAGCAUCUAAGCAUGAAGCCCCCCUCAAGAUGAGAUUUCCCAUUCCGCAAGGAAGUAAGAUCCCUGAAAGAUGAUCAGGUUGAUAGGUCUGAGGUGGAAGUGUGGCGACACAUGGAGCUGACAGAUACUAAUCGAUCGAGGACUUAACCAAUUU
rnacentral:rRNA from 2 species